AUCUUCGCGCCGAAUUUUGGUUUUCAUAGAUGCUUUUAGCAUGUAUUUAAUUAAAAGGGAAUCUAGUGUAAUUCUAGAGCUGUUCCCGCAACUGUAAGUUAUGCCGAAUCGGCACUGGUAUUUAUAUUGGUCCGUAAUAGGUGGCUAUCAUAUUCUUCAAAAUACCACUGAGUAGUAACUUGGGAAGGUGAUGGAUAGUACACAAGUCAGGAGACCUGCCAAAUUCAAAACAAUAAU
rnacentral:ncRNA from 2 species